rnacentral:lncRNA from 1 species
CCUCAUCAGCCUCCCAAAGUGUUGGGAUUACAGGCGUGAGCCACUGCACCCAGCCACCUGGCUAAUUUUCUAAAAUAAAAUUCUUUAUUGUCCAAAGAGUCAGCUACAAAAUUUUUUAAUUUUUUUGUAGAGAUGGGGGUCUCACUGUGUUGCCCAGGCUGGUCUUGAACUCCUCGCCUCAAGUGAUCCUCCCACCUCCAACUCCCAAAGUGCUGGGAUUACAGGUGUGAACCACCACAAUAGCCUCUGUUGCCUACUUUGUAAAUAAUAAGGGUGUUAAAUAAUCCUUAUAAAGUUCCUGGCACUUUAUUAAUUACUGUGGCAAUACAACCAUGACUCUCUAUGAGGUACAUUGCAUUAUUAUUGACAUUUUAUAAUUGAAGAAACUGAGGCAGACUUGGAGAGAUUAUGAUUUACCAAAAGUCACUCAUCUAGGAAGUUGUCCAGUGGGUAUUGAACCCCAGCCAAUCUGAACAUAUACAACAGAUGCAUUAACUAGAGACUGAUGAGUGGAUGAAUAAAAUGUGCUACAUUUGUGCAAUGGAAAACUACUUAAAAAGGAGGCUGGCCGGGCACGGAUGGGAAGUGAUUGCUAAUAAGUAGGGAGUUUCUCUUUGGGAAACAGAAAUUGUCUAAAAUUAUUAUAGAUGGUGGUGGUGGUUGCACAACCCUGUGAAUAUACUGAAGACACUGAGUUGUAUACUUUAAAUGGCAUAUUGUACAGCAUAUUAAUCCUAUAUUAAUAAAGCUGUUAAACAUUUUUUACUCUGCUGAGUGUGGUGGUCCACACCUGUAAUCCCAGCACUUUGGAAGAUGAAGGCAGGUGGAUCGCUUGAGCCCAGUUUGAGACCAGCAUGGGCAACAUGGUGAAACCUCAUCUUUACCAAAAAAAUAGAAAUUAACCAGCUUGAUGGCUCGUGCCUGUAAUCGUAGCUACUCAGGAGGCUGAGGCAGGAGCAUCGUCUGAAUCUGGGAGGCGGAGGUUGCAGAUCACGCCACUGCACUCCAGCCUGGGUGACAGAGCAAGACUCCAUCGCAAAAUAACGACAACAAAAAAGUCAUAAAAUGCCACCCAGACCCAGCUGGCCUAGUUAGUGUGGAGAAUUCCCUGUACCUUCGCUGAGGAGAUUGGGCCCCACAAAGAAAUGCUAAAGAUGCCCCUUGUGUUAUUCACUCAACAAGUAUGUAGCCAUGGCCCAUCGGGGGCUGAUGAUACAAAUGUGACUAACACACACCCUCUGCACUGGCUAGCUGACAGCCUAGUUGAGGAACCAGCUCUGGACAUAAAUAACCACAAUGCAUUGUGUUUCGACGCGAUGGGCAGGGGAGGGAAUGACUAAUGAGGUGGAGAGGCGUCCCAAAGCCACGGGCCUUUGAAGUGGGUGAGGGAAAAGCACACGAGGCCGAGGGAUUGGGUAUGGGCUUCAGUGAAAAACAGCAGUGCCUCUGACAGCCCCCAUGAUAAAAUGGCUCAGGUGUGACUUAGAGUAGGGAGUUAGCUGGGUGUUCGAAUGAUACCCGGUAGGCCAGGUGCGGUGGCUCAUGCCUGUCAUCCCAUCAUUUCGGGAGGCCAAGGCGGGUGGAUCACUUGAGUCCAAGAGUUCAAGACCAGCCUGGCCAACAUGGUGAAACCUCAUCUCUACUGAAAAUACAAAAAUUAGCCGGGCAUGGUGGCAGGCGCCUGUAAUCCCAGCUACUCAGGAGACUGAGGUAGGAGAACCACUUGAGCCCGGGAAGCGGAGGUUGCAGUGAGCCGAGUAAACAUUCUUUUUACUGUCUGCACCUCUGGUCCUGGAUAGUCGCUGAUCACCAUGACAAUUAAGGGUAUGGACCUUAAGAAGAAAAGAUUAUCCUGGAUUUUCUAUGUGGUAUCAACAUAAUCACAUGGAUCAUUAAAAGCAUAAAAUCAUUCUCACCUGAUGUCAGAGCCCAAGGGAGGUGUGGCUAGGGAAGGGAAGAAUGAUCUGAGAGAUGCAAUAUUCCUGCCUUUGAAGAUGGAGGAAGGGGCCAUGAGCCAAGGAAUGUAGGUAACUGUAGAAGCUGGAAAAGGCAAGAAAACAGAUUCUCCUGUGAAGCUUCCAGAAAGGACUGCAGCCCAGCUGGGUGCCACGGCUCACACCGGUAAUCCCAUCACUUUGGGAGCCCAAGGCAGGCGGAUUACUUGAGGUCAGGAGUUUGAGAUCAGCCUAGCCAACAUGGUGAAACACUGUCUCUACUAAAAAUUUAAAAAAUUAGCUGGGUGUGGUGGCAGGCGCCUGUAAUCCCAGCAACUUGGGAGGCUGAGGUAGGAGAAUUGCUUGAACCCAGGAGGGGUAGGUUGCAGUGAGCCAAGAUCGUGCACUCCAGGCUGGGCAACAGAGCGAGACUCUGACUCAAAAAAAAAGGACUGCAGCCCUACCAACACCUUGAUUUUAACCCAGUGAGACUGAUUUAGGACUUCUGUAUUACUCCAUUCUCACACUUCUAUAAAGAAAUACCUGAAGGCCGGGCAUGGUGGCUCAUGUCUGUAAUCCCAGCACUUUGGGAGGCUGAGGCAGGCAGAUCAUGAGGUCAGGCGUUUAAGACCAGCCUGGCCAACAUGGUGAAACCCCGUCUCUACUAAAAAAUACAAAAAAAAUUAGCUGGGCGUGGUGGCGCACACCUGUAAUCCCAGCUACUGGGGAGGCUGAGGCAGGAGAAUCUCUUCACCCAGGAGGCAGAGUUUGCAGUGAGCUGAGAUUGCACCACUGCACUCCAGCCUGGGCAACACAGCAAGACUCUGUCUUAAAAAAAAAAAAAAAGGAAUACCUGAGACUAAAAAAGAAAAAAGAAAUACCUGAGACUAGAUAAUUUAUAAAGAAAGGUGGUUUGGCUGGGCGUGGCGGCUCACGCCUAUAAUCCCAGCACUUUUGGAGGCCAAGGUGGGAGGAUCACGAGGUCAGGAGAUCAAGACCAUCCUGUCAGUGAAAACCUGUCUCUACUAAAAAAUACAAAAAAUUAGCCAGGCGUGGUGGUGGGUGCCUGUAGUCCCAGCUACUUGGGAGGCUGAGGCAGGAGAAAGGUGUGAACCCAGGAGGUGGAGCUUGCAGUGAGCCGAGAUUCUGCCACUGUACUCCAGCCUGGGCGACAGAGCAAGACUGUCUCAAAAAAAAAAAAAAAAAAAAAAAAAAAAGGUGGUUUAAUCAGCUUACAGUUCCACAGGCUCUAGAGGAAGAAAGGCAGCAUCUUCUUCUGGGGAGGACUCAGGGAUCUUCUACUCAUGACAAAGGUGAAGGGGAGCAGGACCAAGAGACGAGGGGAGGAGCUACACACUUAUUAUUAUUAUUACUUUAUUUCUUUAUUUUAUUUUUGAGACAGAGUCUCGCUCUGUCACCCAGGCUGGAGUGCAAGAGUGCAGUGGCAUGAUCUUGGCUCAUCACAACUUCCGCCUCCCAGUUUCAAGCAAUUUUCCUGCCUCAGCCUCCUGAAUAUCUGGGAUUUCAGGUGCCUGCCACCCUGCCCAGCUAAUUUUUGUAUUUUUAGUAGAGAUGGGGGUUUCACUGUGUUGUUCAGGCGGGUCACGAACUCCUGACCUUGUGAUCUGCCUGCCUUGGCCUCACAAAGUGCUGGGAUUACAGGUGUGAGCCACCAUGCCCAGCCCAUGUCUGCAAAUUCUCUGACACCCCUCAUGGAGUGGAGUCUAACUCCUCCCCACCUUGAACAUGGUCUAGCCUUCCUGACUUACUUCCUUUUCUUUUGAGACAGGAUCUCACUGUGUAUCCCAGGCUGGAGUGCAGUGGCGCAAUCACGGCUCACUGCAGCCUUGACCUCCUGGGCUCUGGCGAUCCUCCCACCUUAGCCUCCUGAGUAGCUGGGACCAUAGGUGCUCACCACCACACCCAGCUGAUUUUUUUUUUUUUUUUUUUUGAGAUGGAGUAGCACUCCUGUUGCCCAGGCUGGAGGGCAAUGGCGCGGUCUGAGCUCCCUGCAACCUCUGCCUCCUGGGUUCAAGCAAUUCUCCUGUCUCAGGGUCCCAAGUAGCUGGAAUUACAGGUGCCUGCCACCACGCCCAGCUAAUUUUUGUAUUUUUUUGUAGAGAUGAUGUUUCACCAUGUUGGCCAGGCUGGUCUCAAACUCCUGACCUCAGGCGACCCGCCCACCUCGGCCUUCCAAAGUGCUGGGAUUACAGGUGUGAGUCACUGCUCUCGGUAGAUUUUUGUAUUUUUUUGUAAAGAUGGAGUUUCACCACCAUUGCCCAGGCUGGUUUCGAACUCCUAGGCUCAAAUGAUUCUCCGAUUUCAGCCUCCCAAAGUGCUGGGAUUAUAUGUGAGAGUUACUGUGCCUGGCCAACUUACUUCUUCUAAUUCUGUUUUUUUUUUUUGAGACAGAGCCUCCCUCUGUUUUCCAGGCUGGAGUGCAAUGGCGCGAUCUUGGCUCACUGCAGCCUCUGCCUCCCGGGUUCAAGCGAUUCUCCUACCUCAGCCUCCCGAGUAGCUAGGAUUGCAGGCAUGUGCCACCACACCCAGCUAAUUUUUGUAUUUUUAGUAGAGAUGAGGUUUCACCAUGUUAGCCAGGCUGCUCUUGAACUCCUGACCUCACUCAGGUGAUCUGCCCACCUCAGCCUCCCAAAGUGCUGGGAUUAUAGGCAUGAGCCACCACGUCUGGCCCUGACUCACUUCUAAGAGGUAGAAUGUGGUCAAAGAGACUGCAUGACUGCUGAGGCUGCGUCAGAAAAGGUAAUGCAGCUCCCACCUGGCUCUCUCUGGGGCUAUGGGCCUUUGGAGCAUGAAGCCAGCCUAUAAGAAGCCCAGCUGCCUCCACACCACCAUGCUGGAGGGAUUACAUGGAGAGAUCACACAGUUAUACUGUGAGAUGUCCUGUCUGUCCCAGCCCUCAGCCAUUCGAGUCUUCCCAGUCUAAAUACAAGACGUGUGACUGAGGAAGCUUUUGAAAUGAUCCCACAUGGUGGUGCAUGCCUGUAAUCCCAGCUGCUUGGGAGGCUGAGGGAGAGUUGCUUGAACCCAGGAGGCGGAGGUUGCUGUGACCAGGAUCAAACCACUGCACUCCAGCCUGGGUGACAGAGCAAGACUCCAUCUCGAACAAUAAAAAUAAAAAUGAAGGCCGGGUUUGGUGGCAUAUGCCUCUAAUCCCAGCACUUUGGGAAGCCAAGGUGAAAGGAUCACGAGGUCAGGAGACAGAGACCAUCCUGGCUAACACAGUGAAACCCCGUGUCUACUAAAAAUACCAAAAAUUAGCCCUGUGUGGUGGUGGGCACCUGUAGUCCCAACUGCUUGGGAGGCUGAGGCAGGAGAAUGGCGUGAACCCGGGAGGUGGAGCUUGCAGUGAGCAGAGAUCGGGCCACUGCACUCCAACCUGGGUGACACAGCAAGACUCCAUCUCAAAAAAUAAUAAUAAUAAAAUAAAAAAUAAAAAUAAAAACAUGGUCUGGUCUUCAUGACUCACUUCCUUUUGAGACAGGAUUUCAGCCAGUACUGUAAACAUAUGAGGAACCAUAAGCAAGACCUCCUAGCUAAUUCAACCCCCUGAAUUAUCAGAGGUAAUAAUUGUGACAGUUGUUUUACAACCUGGGAUGUCUCCUUACACAGCAAAAGACAACAGAUAGACACAUAUAGUACUUUGCACAUAAAAAACACUGAAAACAUAGCAGUCCUGGCCAGGCACGGUGGCUCACUUCUGUAAUCCCGGCACUUCGGGAGGACGAGGCGGUGGGAUCACCUGAGGUCAGGAGUUCGAGACCAGCCUAGCCACCAUGGUGAAGCCCCGUCUCUACUAAAAAUAAAAAAAUUAGCCAGGUGUAGUGGUGUACACUGGUGUAAUCCCACCUACUCAGGAGGCCGAGGGAGGAGAAUUGCUUGAACCUAGGAGGUGGAGGUUGCAAUAAACCAAGAUCGUGCCACUGCACUCCAGCCUGGGCAACAGAGUGAGACUCCAUCCCAAAAACAAAAACAUGUCAGUCCUAAUUGUUAUUAUUAUUUCAAACCAGCUUUAUCUUGACCCACUAGGCCCUUAUGUAUUAAUCAUAGCAACUAUUAUUUAUUGAACACUUAGUAUAAAUCAGACAUAGCACAUAUGUGCACACCUUGUUAUACUCCACUUUGAUUUAUUGUGCUUCACAGAAACUGCAUUUUUUACAAAUUUAAGGUUUGUGGCAACCCUGUGUUGGGUAAGUCUGUCAGUGGCAUUUUUCCAACAGCACAUGCUCACUUCAUACCUCUGUGUCACAGUUCAGUAAUUCUGGCAGUAUUUCAAACUUUUAUUUUAUUUAUUUAUUUAUUUAUUUUGAGGCGGAGUCUCGCUCUGUCACCCAGGCUGGAGUGCGGUGGCGUGAUCUCGGCUCACUGCAAGCUCCGCCUCCCAGGUUCACGCCAUUCUCCUGCCUCAGCCUCCUGAGUAGCUGGGACUACAGGCGCCGGCCACCACGCCUGGCUAAUUUUUUGUAUUUUUUAGUAGAGACGGGGUUUCACCAUGUUAGCGAGGAUAGUCUCGAUCUCCUGACCACGUGAUCCACUCGCCUCUGUCUCCCAAAGUGCUGGGAUUACAGGCUUGAGCCACCAUGCCCAGCCCAAAUUUUUAAUUAUUACUAUAUCUGCUGUGGUGAUCUGUGAUCAGUGGUCUUUGAUAUUACUACUACAGUUGUUUUGGGCAUCAUACACCAUGCCCAUUUAAGAUGGUGAAUUUAAUCAACAAAUGUGUGUGUUCUAACUGCCUCUCUGACCAACUGUGCCUCCGUCUCAUGCCUUCUUGCCCUCUUGAGUCUCCCUAUUUCCUGAGACAGAACAAUAUUGAAAUUAGGUCAAUUAACAAGCCUACAAUGGCCUCUAAGUGUUAAAGUGAAAGGAAGGGUCCUACAUGUCUCACUUAAUGUCAAAAGCUAGAAAUGAUUAAACAUCAUGAGGCAGACAUGUUGAAGACUGAGAAAGAACAAAAGCAAAGCCUCUUGUACCCAUUAACCAAGUUGUGAACACAAAGGAAAAGUUAUUUUUUUCUCUCUCUCUCUUGAGACGGAGUCUCGCUCUGUGGCCCAGGCUGAAGUGCAAUGGCACAAUCUCGGCUCCCUGCAACCACUGCUCCCGGGGUUCCAGUGAUUGUCCUGCCUCAGCCUCUCAAGUAGCUGGGAUUAUAGGCACGUGCCAACAACCGGCUAAUGUUUUGUAUUUUUAGUAGAAACGGGUUUUCCCCAUGUUGGCCAGGCUGGUCUUGAACUCCUGACCUUAGAUGAUCUGCCUGCCUUGGCCUCCCAAAGUGCUAGGAUUACAGGCAUGAGCCACCGUGCCUGGCAGGAAAAGUUCUUGAAGGAAAUUAAAAGUGCUACUCCUGUGAACACACGAAUGAGAAGAAAGCAAAGCAGCCUUAUUGCUGAUACAGAGAAAGUUUGGUCUGGAUAGAAGAUCAAACCAGUCACAACAUUCCCUUAAGCCAAAGCCUAAUCCAGAGCAAGGUUCUAACUCUCCUGAAUUCUAUGAAGGCAAAGAGGGGUGAGGAAGCUGUAGAAGAAAAGGUGGGGCUGGGUGCGGUGGCUCAGGCCUGUAAUCCCAGCACUUUGGGAGGCUGAGGUGGGUGGGUCACCUGAGGUCAGGAGUUCGAGACCAGCCUGAACAACAUGGUGAAACCCCAUCUCUACUAAAAAUACAAAAAUUAGCCAGGCAUGGUGGUGGACACCUGUAAUCCCAGCUACUUAAGAGGCUGAGACAGGAGCAUCACUUGAACCUGGGGGUAAAGGUUGCAGUGAGCCGAGAUUGUGCCACUUCACUGCAGCCUGGGCGAAAGAGCAAAACUCCAUCUCAAAGAAAAGAAAUAUAUUUUGUGGCCGGGUGCGGUGGCUCAAGCCUGUAAUCCCAGCACUUUGGGAGGCUGAGUCGGGCAGAUCACGAGGUCAGGAGUUUGAGACCAGCCUGCCCAAUACAGUGAAACCUCGUCUCUACUGAAAAUACAAAAAUUAGCCAGGUGUGGUGGCACGCGCCUGUACUCCCAGCUACUCAGGAGGCUGAGGCAGAAGAAUCGCUUGAACCCGGGAGGCAGAGGUUGCAGUGAGCAGAGAUUGUGCCACUGCACUCUAGCCUGGGCAACAGGGCAAGGCUCCAUCUCAAAAAAAAAAAAAAAAAAUUAGCUGGAGGUGAAUUGCUCAAUCCCAUGAGCAAACUUGAAUGAAUGAGCAAUUGCUUCUUAUGACUGAGCAAAAAAAUUGGUUUCUUCCAAUGGGAUGUACUUCUGGUGAAGAUACUGUGAAUAUUGCUGAAAUAACAGCAAAAGAUUUAGAAUACUACAUAAAAACCUAGUUGAUAAAGUAGGAGCAGGGUUUGAGAAGAUUGACUCUAAUUUUGAAAAAAGUUCUGCCGUGUGUAAAAUGCUAUCAAACAGCAUCACAUCCUACAGUGACGGUGGAAGUCAAUUGAUGCUGCAAACUUCAAUGUUGUCUUAUUUUAAGAAAUUGCGACCGGGCACGGUGGCUCGGGCCUGUAAUCCCAGCACUUUGGGAGGCCGAGGUGGGCAGAUCACGAGGUCAGAAGAUCGAGACCAUCCUGGCUAAUAUGGUGAAACCCCGUCUCUACUAAAAAUACAAAAAAUUAGUCGGGUGUGGUGGUGGGCACCUGUAGUCCCAGCUUCUUGGGAGGCUGAGGCAGGAGAAUGGCGUGAACCCGGGAGGCGGAGCUUGCAGUGAGCUGAGAUCACGCCACUGCAUUCCAGCCUGGGCGAGAGAGCAAGACUCCAUCUCAAAAUAAAUAAAUAAAAAUAAAUUAAAAAAAAGAAAUUGCAGCCAGGCGCGGUGGCUCAUGCCCGUAAUCUCACACUUUGGAAGGCCAAGACGGCUGAAUCACCUGAGGUUGGGAGUCCGAGACCAGCCUGACCAACAUGGAGAAAACCCCAUCUCUACUAAAAAUACAAAAACUUAGCCAGGCAUGAUGGCGCAUGCCUGUAAUCCCAGCACUUUGGAAGGCUGAGGCGGGUGACUCACCUGAGGUCAGGAGUUCGAGACCAGCCUUACCAACAUGGAGAAACCCCAUCUCUACUAAAAAUAUAAAAAAUUAGCCAGGCAUGGUGGCACAUGUCUGUAAUCCCAGCUACUCGAGAGGCUGAGGCAGGAGAAUCAAUUGAACUUGGGAGGUGGCAGUUGCAGUGAGCCAAGAUCCCCCAGGUGUGCACCACCAUGCCAGAAUAAUGAAAACUUUUUUUUUUUUUUUUUUUUUAAGAGAUGGGUGUCUCCCUGUGUUGCCUAGGCUGGUCUUGAACAGCCUGGGAAACAGCAAGAAUCACUUUCUAAAAAAUUAAAAAUAAAAAGAUUAGCCGGAUGUGGCAGCACACACCUAAAGUCUCAGCUACUCAUGAUGCUGAGGGAGGUGGAUCACUUGAGCCCAGGCGUUUAAGGUUACAGUGAGCUAUGAUCAUGCCACUGCAUUCUUGCCUCUUUUAGUGAGACCCUCCUUUAAAAAAUAAAAAGUUAUGUUUACACUCUUCUGUAGUCUUUUAUUAAUUAAUUAACUUUUUUAUUUUUUGAGAGGGGGUCUUGCUGUGUCACCCAGGCUGAAGUGCAGUGGCGUGAUCUUGGCUCACUGCAACCUCCACCUUCUGGGUUCAAGUGAUUCUCCUGCCUCAGCCUCCCGAGUAGCUGGGAUUACAGGCACAUGCCACUCUGCCUGGCUAAUUUUUGUAUUUUAGUAGAGAUGGGGUUUCACCAUGUUGGUCAGGCUGGUCUCGAACUCUUGACCUCAAAUGAUCCACCCGCCUCUGUAGUCUCUUAAGUAUGCGAUAAAAUUAUGUCUAUAAAAACAAUGUACAGGCCGGGUGCGGUGGCCCACGCCUGUAAUCCCAGCACUUUGGGAGGCCAAGGCAGGCAGAUUACCUGAGGGCAGGAGUUUGAGACCAGCCUGGCCAACAUGGAGAAACCCCAUCUCUACUAAAAAUACAAAAAUUACCUGGGCCUGGUGGCACAUGCGUGUAAUCUCAGCUACUCAGGAGGCUGAGGCGGGAGAAUUGCUUGAGCCCGGGAGGCGGAGUUUGCAGUGAGCUGAGAAUGCGCCACUGCACUCCAGCCUGGGCAACAGAGCAAGACUCUGCCUCAAAAAAAAAAAAAAAGAAAGAAAGAAAGAAAAAAAAGUAUAUACCUUAACUUAAAAAUAAUGCUUAAAAUAUUAAUGAUCAUCUGAGUUUUCUUUCAGUAAGUCAUUACAUUUUUGUUAGUGGAGGGUCUUGCCUCGAUGUUGGUGGCUGCUGACUGAUCAGGGUAGUGGUUCCUGAAGGUUGAGAUGGCUGUGGCAAUUACAGGCGUGCACCACCAUGCCUGGCUAAUUUUUCUAUUUUUAGUAGAGACAGUGUUUCACCAUGUUGGCAAGGCUGGUCUUGAACUCCUGACCUCGUGAUCCGCCCGCCUUGGCCUCCCAAAGUACUGGGAUUAGAGGCAUGAGCCACCGAGCCCAGGCUUAAUACACCAUUUUAUAAGUUUUUUCUUAGGUAGGGUCUCACUCUGUCAGCUAUGCUGGAGUACAGUGACAUGAUGAGAACUCUCAAUGAAGCCUCAAACUCUGGGGCUCAACAGAUCCUCCUGCCUCACCCUCCAGAGUAGCUGGGACUACAGGCAUGCACCAACAUGCCCUUCUAAUUUUUGAAUUUUUAGUAGAAAUGGGGUUUCACCAUGUUUGGCCAGGCUGGUCUCGAACUCCUGAUCUCAGGCUACCCACCCACCUUGGCCUCCCAGAGUGCUGGGAUGACAGGUGUGAGCCACUGUGCCUGGCCUCAUUUUUUUUUUUUUACUUCACUUUAUUGUGCUUCAGAGAUAUUGCAUUCCUUAACAUUUUUUAAAUUUAAAAAUAUAAAUAGGCCGGGCGCAGUGGCUCAAGCCUGUAAUCCCAGCACUUUGGGAGACUGAGGUGGGCGGAUCACAAGGUCAGGAGAUCGAGACCAUCCUGGCUAACACGGUGAAACCCCAUAUAUACUAAAAAUACAAAAAAAUUAGCCGGGCGUGGUGGCGGGCACCUGUAGUCCCAGCUACUCGGGAGGCUGAGGCAGGAGAAUGGCGUGAACCCAGGAGGCGGAGCUUGCAGUGAGCUGAGAUUGUGCCACUGCACUCCAGCCUGAGCGACAGAACAAGACUCUGUCUCAAAAAAAAAAGAUAAUAAUAAUAAUAUUUAAAACAAUUUAGAUGGGGGGGGGUCUCGCUAUGUUGACCAGGCUGGUUUCGAACUCCUGGCAUCAAGCAAUCCUCCCAUCUCAGCCUCCCAAAGUGCUGGAGUUACAGGCGUGAGUCACCAUGCGUGGCCCAUUUUUUAACAUACUAGAGGAUUGUGGCAACCCUGUGUUGAGGUAGCGUAUUGGUGCCGUUUUUCCAACAGCAUGUGUUCAUUCGCUGUCUUUGUGUCACAUUUCGGUAAUUCUUAUUGUAUUUCAAACUUUAUUACUAUUUUUUUGAGACAGAGUCUUACUCCAUUGCCCAGGCUCAAGUGCAGUGGUUUGACCAUAGCUCACUGCAGCCUUGACCGCCUGGGCUCAAGUGAUCCUCUUGCCUCAGCCUUCUGAGUAGCUGGGAUGACUGGUUUGUGCCACCAUUCCUGGCUAAUUUUUAAUUUUUUUUUAAAUUUUUAUUUUUGUAAAAACAGGGUCUCACUAUGUUGGUCAGGCUGGUCUCAAACGCCUGGGUUUCUAGCAAUCUUCCCGCCUCAGCCUCCCAAAUAGAUGGAUUACAGGCGUGAGCCACUGCACCUGGCUCUUUUUUUUUUUUUUGAGAUGGAGUCUCACUCUGUCGCCCAGGCUGGAGUGCAGUAGCCCGAUCUCAGCUAACUGCAACCUCCGCCUCCCAGGUUCAAGCGUUUCUUCUGCCUCAGCCUCUGGAGUAGCUGGGAGUAUGGGUAUGAGCCACCAAGCCCGCUUGGCUGUUUCUUUUUCUUCCUCCCUCUUUCCUCCUCCUCAUUCUUUUUCCUCCUCCUUCCUUCCUCCUUACUGCUGCCCCCCAAAUUGCUGGGAUUACAGGCAUGAGCCACCGUGCCUGGCAGUUUCCGUCUCUUCCUUCUCCUCCUCCCCCCUCCCCUCCCCUCCUCCUUUACAGGCCUGAGCCACCAAUCCAUGUAGUUUCCUUCUCCUCCUCCUCCUUUACAGGCAUGAGCCACUGCGCUUGGCUGUUUUUUCCUCCUCCUCCUCCUCCUCCUCCUCCUUUACAGGCGUAAGCCACCUCGCCUGGCUGUUUCCUCCUCCUCCUCCUUUACAGGCUGCGCCACCACACCUGGCUGUUUCUCCCUCUUCCUCCUCCUCCUCGUCCUUUACAGUCGUGAGCCACCUCGCCUGGCUGUUUCCUCCUCCUCCUCCUCUUCCUUCUCCUCCUUUACCGGCAUGAGCCACCCUUCCUGGCUGUUUCUUCUUCCUCCUGCUCCUCCUCCUCCUCCUUUACAGGCAUGAGCCACUGUGCCUGGCUGUCUCCUCCUCCUCCUCUACAGGCGUGAGCCACUGCAACUGGCUGUUUCCUCCUCCUCCUUUGCAGGCUUGAGCCACUGUGCCUGGCUGUUUCUUCCUCCUCUUUCUCCUUUACAGGCGUGAGCCACCACGCCUGGCUGUUUCCUCCUGCUCCUCCUCCUCUUCCUCUUCCUUUACAGGUGUGAGAGCCACCAGGCCUGGCUGUUUCUUCCUUCUCCUCCUCCUCCUCAUUCUCCUCCUCCUUUACAGACCUGAGCCAGGGAGCCUGGCUGUUUCUUCCUCCUACUCCUCCUCUACAGGUGUAAGCCACCAAGCCUCGCCGUUUCCUUCUCCUCCUCCCUCUCCUCCUUCUCCCCCUCCUCCUCUUCUCCCCCUCCCUCCUCCCCCUCCUUUCCUCCUCCUCCCUUCUUCCUUUCCUCCUCUUCCACCUCCUUCUCCACCUCCUCCUCCUCCACCUCCUUCUCCUCCUCCUCCACCUCCUUCUCCUCCUCCUCUCCUCCUCCUCCCCUCCUCCUCCUCUCCUCCUCCCCCUCUCCUCCUCUCCUCC